rnacentral:lncRNA from 1 species
AUGUACCCUAUACAUCCCAUACACCCCAUACAUCCCAUAUACAUCCCAUAUAGAUCCCAUACCUUGAACUUCUUGCCGCUGAGAGGACACAGCCACUUGUCCUUGCCCAGCUCUUGGGUAUUUGCACUCACAAACUUCUCCAGCUCCUGCUCUGGGUCCAUCCAUCCCAUACCCCCCAUCCCAUCCCAUAUGUACCCUAUACAUCCCAUAUCCAUCCCAUACCUUGAACUUCUUGCUGCUGAGAGGACACAGCCACUUGUCCUUGCCCCAUCCCAUCCAUCCCUGUAUCCCACAUCCAUCCCAUCCCAUCUGUAUCCCAUCCCAUACCCCCCAUCCCAUCCCAUAUGUACCCUAUACAUCCCAUAUACAUCCCAUAUACAUCCCAUACAUCCCAUAUACAUCCCAUACCUUGAACUUCUUGCCGCUGAGAGGACACAGCCACUUGUCCUUGCCCCAUCCCAUCCAUCCCUGUAUCCCCCAUCCAUCCCAUCCCAUCCCAUCUGUAUCCCAUCCAUUACCCCCCAUCCCAUCCCAUAUGUACCCUAUACACCCCAUAUACAUCCCAUACACCCCAUAUACAUCCCAUACAUCCCAUAUACAUCCCAUACCUUGAACUUCUUGCCGCUGAGAGGACACAGCCACUUGUCCUUGCCCCAUCCCAUCCCAUCUGUAUCCCAUCUGUAUCCCAUCCAUUACCCCUCACCCCAUCCCAUAUGUACCCUAUACAUCCCAUACAUCCCAUAUACAUCCCAUAUACAUCCCAUAUACAUCCCAUAUACAUCCCAUACCUUGAACUUCUUGCCGCUGAGAGGACACAGCCACUUGUCCUUGCCCCAUCCCAUCCAUCCCAUAUGUACCCUAUACAUCCCAUAUACAUCCCAUAUGUACCCUAUACAUCCCAUAUACAUCCCAUAUCCAUCCCAUACCUUGAACUUCUUGCCGCUGAGAGGACACAGCCACUUGUCCUUGCCCCAUCCCAUCUGUAUCCCAUCCAUCCCAUUCUAUUCUAUCCCAUCCCAUAGAUCCCAUCCCAUCCCAUCCAUCCCAUAUGUACCCUAUACAUCCCAUACAUCCCAUAUAGAUCCCAUACCUUGA